CCUACGGGGGGCUGCAGUGGGGAAUAUUGGACAAUGGGGGGAACCCUGAUCCAGCCAUGCCGCGUGUGUGAAGAAGGCCCUCGGGUUGUAAAGCACUUUCAGUGAGGAAGAACGCCUGGUGGUUAAUACCCAUCAGGAAAGACAUCACUCACAGAAGAAGCACCGGCUAACUCCGUGCCAGCAGCCGCGGUAAUACGGAGGGUGCGAGCGUUAAUCGGAAUUACUGGGCGUAAAGCGCGCGUAGGUGGCUUGAUAAGCCGGUUGUGAAAGCCCCGGGCUCAACCUGGGAACGGCAUCCGGAACUGUCAAGCUAGAGUGCAGGAGAGGAAGGUAGAAUUCCCGGUGUAGCGGUGAAAUGCGUAGAGAUCGGGAGGAAUACCAGUGGCGAAGGCGGCCUUCUGGACUGUCACUGACACUGAGGUGCGAAAGCGUGGGUAGCAAACAGGAUUAGAUACCCGAGUAGUC
rnacentral:rRNA from 1 species